AUGCCGCGCUCUCAGACGCUCCGUCCUUCAUCCGCUCCGAGUCAAACCUCUUUCAUUCACACCCUCCGCCGUGUUCUUCGUCACUCCGUCCAACUUCCACGCCGUGUUCGUCGUCCACGUCAUCGUCCGUUCGUCGUUCGCCGUCCAACUACUUUCGUCCACGUCGUCUGCCGUCCAUGUCGUCCAAGUCGUCCGCUGUGUUUGUAUGUAUUUCUGCAUUUAUAUUUCGAUCUCCAUUUCGUAUCGUUGUGUUUGAGUUGA